GACAGAGGGUGCAAACGUUGUUCGGAAUUACUGGCGUAAAGCGCGUGUAGGCGGCAGGGCAUGUCGGAUGUGAAAUCCCGUGGCUCAACCACGGAAGUGCACCCGAAACUGCCCAGCUGGAGUCUCGGAGAGGAAGGCGGAAUGCUUGGUGUAGAGGUGAAAUUCGUAGAUAUCAAGCGGAACACCGGUGGCGAAGGCGGCCUUCUGGACGAUGACUGACGCUGGAGACGCGAAAGCGUGGGGAGCAAACAGG
rnacentral:rRNA from 1 species